UACGGGGGGAGCAAGCGUUGUUCGGAUUUACUGGGCGUAAAGGGCGCGUAGGCGGCCAUCUCAAGUCAAUUGUGAAAUCUCCGGGCUUAACUCGGAAAGGUCAACUGAUACUGCGGGGCUAGAGUGCGGAAGGGGCAACUGGAAUUCUCGGUGUAGCGGUGAAAUGCGCAGAUAUCAGGAAGAACACCUAUGGCGAAAGCAGCUCUCUGGGACGGUACUGACGCUGAGACGCGAAAGCGUGGGGAGCGAACAGG
rnacentral:rRNA from 1 species